CCUAAUCGAACGAUCAAAUUCAGUUGUAUUUGUUAUUGUUCAAUAUCAGUUUGAACAAUCAGUUUCUUUUACUUCAAUGAUCAACUUUACCUUCUUCUGGAUAAAAUUUAGGAAUUCAACUUUCAGUUGAAAAUCCAUGCUUGAAUUACCAAAACAAGGAAAUGUGUAUCCUUAUCAAUGCUGCUUGAAUUAUCAAAACAAGGAAGUGUGUCUCCUAACAAAUGUCUCUUGAAUUACCUAGACAAGAAAGUGCAUCUCCUUACAAAUGCCUCUUCAAUUAUCCAGACGAGAAAAUGUGUCUCCUUACAAAUGUCUCUUGAAUUAUACAGAUAAGAAAAUGUGUCUCCUUGAUCUCCUUACAAAUAUAUCAUGAAUUAACCAAACAAGGAAGUGUGUCUCCUUACAAAUAUUGCUUGAAUUACCCAAACAAGGAAGUGUGUCUCCUCACCAAUGUCGCUUGAAUUACCCAAACAAGGAAGUGCGUCUCCUCACAAAUAUCACUUGAAUUGGCCAAAUAAGGAAGUGCGUCUCCUCACAAAUGCUGCUUGAAUUGCCCAAACAGGUGAGUGCGUCCCCUUACAAAUGUUGCUUGAAUUAACUAAACAAGAAAGUGCGGCUCCUUACAAAUAUUGCUUGAAUUACCCAAAUAAGGAAGUGCGUCUCCUUACAAAUGUCGCUUGAAUUACCAAAAUAAGAAAGUGCAUCUCCUUACAAAUACUGCUGGAAUUACCAAACAAGGAAGUGCAUCUCGUUACAAAUGUCUCUUGAAUUAUCCAAACAAGGAAGUAUGUCUCCUAGAGAUAUUAGAUGAUGAGUUUUACCAUGGUUUUGAUUACCAAACCUGUGCAACAAUAUUGUCUCCUGUAUUUGUGGAAGUGAGGCAUUACAACUUUUGAUGUUUGGUCUUUGAAAUCCUUGAUUCGAAGGUAACAUAUGUUCCUGUUUCAUACAAAGAAAAUUUGUUAGUUUAAAAAUAUGGUGGCUGGUUUGUGGCUUUGUCUUUCGUGGCAAUCUUUCUUGCCCUCAUCAUAUUUAACCUUGCUUUCGACCAUUAGCAUAUGUCACUGACUUGCUACAUCAUUGACCCAAACUCAGAUUAUUAAGAGUGACUCUGAAACAAACACCGUAUUUCUACUUUGCUGUGCUUCUUAGAUAAACACUUUGAACCUUGGUAUUUCUAUGAGUUGACAUACUUGUCAGUUGAAAAAAAUUUCUGCAUGUUUUAUUUCGGCUUACAAUCAUGUCUCUUUCAUGUGUUGGCCUUUUGUCUUUCUUUGCGCAAUUGAAGAAGUUGGUAGCCAGUUUUGAAAUCUUUUCUCACUUGUUUUGAUAUGGACUUGACUCAAAGACAAGAGAAAAAUGACGAUGACUUUUAUUUGGACAACUGACUCAAGAAAACAAAAUAAAAACAAAAGAAGAAAGAAAAGACAAUGAAUGUCCCCAUUUGAAAUAAAGAAAUGAAAAAUUUAUCUAGAAAUAAUAGUCAACUCUAAUGAUUAUGCCAUGCAUUUUGGAUUAAGAUACCUGAUCUUUCCAUCCAAACUUUUUACCAAUUUUUGUUGAGUUAAUGGCCAUGAAACUGAGUUGUUUCUUUAGGUCAAUUGCAUUUAAGAUCUCAUUUGGCUAGUGACACCUUGAAGGGUUUUUACCAACAAACCUCUCUCAUUCUCUUUUUCUCAGUUCACCAUUGUCUUAUGGUGUCUGUGGGGGAUUUUUCACCAAUGAGACUCUUAUUUUCAUUUUUAUCAACUCGCAGUCGUCAUACAGUGCCCGUGAGGGUUUUCACCGAUAAGACUCUCUCAUUUUUAUCUCUCUCAUCUUACCAUCGCCUUAUGGUGCCCGUGAGGGUUUUCACCAAUAAGACUCUCUCAUUUUUAUUUCUCUCCUGAUUCCUUAUGCUGAGGAAGACAAGUAGUUCCCAAAACACGUCAUCAUAUCCCUUGCAUUCUUAGCCUUAACAUUCUCAAAGAUUGAUCUGAAGGUCUUUCUUUGGUUGUACCUUGGCUUUUGGAUAGGGUUAUAAAGAAAGGAUGACAUGAGGCUCAAACGACACUUGGAGUGGGGUAGGACUUACAACUUUUGGAAUCGACUCAAACAAUGAGGACCGAGCCCGAAGCAGGAUAGCCUAUGUAUCUUAACCCCGAGAGGAGAGAAUCAGGUUACGCGUAGUUCUGGAAGCUUGUUCGUUUGAUUGAUUCUGAUUUUUGUUUCUUUUUUUUUCUUUUCUCUUUGGGAUUUUUUUCUGACCUUAUUUUGACACUCUUCUCUUUUCUUUCCUUUUGGACAUAUUUUUUUCUCGACACUUUUCUUUUGAGUUUUACUGACUCUAUCUUGAUUCCAAAAGAGGGGUAUGAAAGAAAAUAGGACUAAAGCUCAAAUGGAGUAAACAAAGGAUGACACAAUGUUUGGAUAGCAGAAUAAAAUGUCUUCUUCAUAUCAAUCCUUAAAAAUGCAAGUACUUAUCAUGCAAUAUGAAAGUGAAAGAUGAAGACCAUUUGUGACAUCUUUUGCAGCAUUAACUUUGACUGAGUCCGUGCGUUACUAUUUCUUCUGCGCUUUUCUAGCAUACAACUCCAAUUUUGUUACAUAUUCCUCACAUUGAGUGACUUAUGAUUUUGUGGAGUUGAUUUUCAUUUUGUUCACGCAGCCACUAUUUGACCAAAUUGAGACAUGUCUUUUAAUUGAUGACCAAGUUAUUCUUGUAAUUCUCAAAAUAAGUGCCUUAAUUUUCAAAGAAGGCUUCAGCUUGUCACCAAAUAUCUCAGCACUUUACCUAUUUCCUCGGAUGUUCUCUUUUACUAACUCAAACCUCCGAUUCAAUGUUCAUACUUAAAAUGGAUUUCAAGAUCUGGCUGAAAAUUCCGCUAGCACAUCAUUUCACUAAAAUCAACAUAAAGUGUGCUAUGUAAAGAAAAAAAACAAACAACACAAAUUUAAAAUGCAAAGGAAAAUGGGACACUCCAUUUAAUUAGAAUAAAAGAUAGGGUUUGAACAUAACAACAAAGUGAUAAAACAAGAUAGAUCCCCAACUACAACCCUGAAAUAAUUUGGACAACAAAAAAUAAAAUAAAACAUACUACCAGACCUCUUCCUAGUAGGGAAAGGGGUGACUUCUUAAUUGCUCAGCCUAACAUUUUAACCACUGGUUUGCAUAUCUGACUAGAGCUUUCCUCACUGUCAAUGGUACGCACCAUAAUUGAUUUAUCUUGAAUCAUCAUUUUUAUUUCUCUUUUCAAAGAACGACAAUCUUCAAUACUAUGACCCUGAGUAUCAGAAUGAUACGCACAUCAUGCAUUAGCAUUAAAACUUCUUGAAUGCGGGUCAGGAGUAUACCCAAGGAAAGGAGUGAUCAUGCCCCGUUGUACCAAUCUAUGGAAUAAAAUGGCGUACGAAUCUCCAAUUGGUGUGAAGCUAUCUAUUGACUUCUGCCUCAUUUCAUUGUUUGGCUUGGAUCAAAAAUCGAAUCUAGAAGGGCUUUGGUAUGUUUGUGGAGUUUGAGGAUAACUCUGAAGUGUUGGUGUAUACCAUUGUGGGUAAGAAGGGAAUUGACCAUAAGGUUGUACAUUAUAUAUUGGAUAUGUAGUUGGCGGAAUACAAUAUAAUGGAUUUUGGGAAAGAUUUUGUGGAGCUUGGGCAUGAGCUUGGGUUUGAGCCUGUGGUUAACGAUAGUGUGAUCCUCUUGUAAUGGCAGAUGCAUCUUCCUCAUACUUCUUCCCUCCGACACUUCCCAAACCUUUUUGAAUUGCUUGAGUAGUCACUUUCAAUGUCGCAAAACUCACAAUACGGCCGGUCUUAAUUCCAUCCUCUAUCAUCUCCCCCAUUUUGAGGACUUCAAUAAAUAGCUUGCCUAAUGCAGGCAACAAGUAUUGAUAAUAUGUUUUAUCCCACGCUUGAAUAAAUGCCUCCACUAUCUUACUUUCUUUCAUUGACGGUUUCACCCUAACAACCUGUUCACGCCAUCUAAUUGCAUACUCUUUGAAAGUCUCAGUACUCUUUUUCUUCAUUUUAGUUAGGAAUUUCUCAUCAGGAAUCAACUCCACAUUGUAUUGGAAUUGUUGCACAAAUUCAUUAGCUAGGUCAUCCCAACUAAUCCACUAGUCGAUGUUUUGGUCAACAAACUAUUCCAAAGCUAGGCCUGAAAAACUCUCACCAAAAUAUGCCAUGAGUAAUUCUUCCUUCCCCCCAGCACCCCUUAGUUGGUUGCAAUAACAUCUCAAAUGUGCUAUAGGAUUGCCAUGUCCAUCAUACUUCUCAAACUUCAACAUUUUAAAACCAAAAGGAAGAUGAACCCCUAGAAACAUGCACAGAUCUUUAUAUGAGACACUUUUGUACCCCCCAAGUCCCUGGAGUUCUUUCAUAGCCAGUUUCAAAUUUCUCAAUUUUCUGGUAAUUUCCUUUUGUUCUUCUGUUAUAACAGGCUUCUUAGUGUUAAGAGGAAAUUCAGGCGUGUGAGUAUAGCUAUAAGGAUUAGUCGACUUAAAUGUAGGCUCAAUAGCAUGAUGUUGAUCAGCAAAAAUAUUCAAUAUAGACUCUCUCGCAGAGUAGGGAGGCACAACUUAUGGAUAAACCUCAAAAGUAGGAGCUUUAGGUGGGGGUGGUGCUGCAAAAACAUGAAUAGUGGAUGAAGCCGAGCAUGUGGUAGCUUUGUGUUGAGGAGUGAGGAAAUGAAUAUUGAAAGUGUUUGGAUAGUGUUUCCCCAGAGUAGAUCUUGAUGCAUGUUCUAACUUGUCAACAAUAAUAGGAAACGGUGCAUGUGACAUUGGAGGCAAGUUAGAAAGAUAUUCCAGAUUAUCAGUGAAAAAUGGAGGAGGCGGCAACCCAUUAGCCCAAGAUUCAUGCAUUUCUAUCAUUUGUUGUCUUAAUUUUCGAAUCUCUUCAUUAGCUUCUAAAUUCUCAUUUUUCCAACUCCUUAUCUGAUUAGUGACCACAACCUCAACAUUCCUGUUGGCUAUAACUUUCUCUUCGACUUGGUACAAUAUGGAGGACUAGCUAAAAUGCUACAAACCAACCACCUUAAACUAACUGGACAAGAGAUAACAAAUGCGUUAGAGUUCAAGACUUUCUCAAAACCUUUUUCUUUUUCCUUUUCCUUUGAAAAUAUCACCGAACCCAAGAAGGACGCCUACAUAUCUCACUCCCGAGUGAGGAGAAUCAGGUGUGCGUAGUUCGUGAAGUCUUGCCAAAAUGGCCAAUUAAUUCUUUUUUCUUUUUUUUCUUUUUCAGAAACUUCAAAAAUAACAAUUUGUCAAAAGAAUUGACGAAAAUCUUUUUGCAUUUUUCAGGUUUAAACUCACUAUACAAAACGAAACCUAUGAUUACCAAAGAAAAAUCUUUUUGAAUUUUCAAUUUUUGAAUUUCAUACGAAAAUGAGACUUGAAGCUAUUAACAAAAAAUCUUUUUGUGAUUUCCUUUAAAAGAUGUAUAGGAAACACCUACUUUAAAGGAAGAGUGAAGAAAAUAUUUUGUUGGAUUUUUUAAAUAAGAUCCCCAAACCCACAAUAGGCUGCCUACAUAUCUCACUCCCAAGAGAGGAGAAUCAGGGGUGCGUAGUUCAUCCAGAUAGGACAACUAAGGAUUAAAUAACCGACUAAACCCUGACUUGAGAGACGUGACCACAAACAGAAGAUGAAAAACAAUAAAAUCUUUUUGAGUUUUUAGUUUGACACUUCACAUAAGACUGACACCAACAACUAUGAAAGAGAAAAGAAAUCUUUUUGGUAUUUUCGUUAUCUGAGAUGUACAAAACUCCUACCAUUUUUUUUGCAUUUUCUUUUAUAAAAAAAAAAAUUACUUAUAGUAAAAAAAAAUCUUUUUGAAGUUUUCGAAUUAUGAAUGUUUACAAAAGAAAAAUAUUUUUGAUGCUUUUGUUUUUUUUGACAAAUGGGUAUAAAAGGUAAACAAAAUCUUUGAAUUUUAGUUAUUUUAAAAAAAAUGCAAAAGGUAAAAAGAAUCAUUUCUUUUGAAAUUUUGGGUUGCGAAGAACCAAAGCCAUAAAGAACUCUGAAAUAAACUACGAAACUCUCUUUUUAGCUCACUCUUUUCAUUUUUCCCUUUUUUUUCAAACUUUCUUGUUUACACACCUUACUUCCAACACAUGUUUUUCCCAAAUCAAUCCAUCAAAUGACCACGUUACACUCAAAGAUGCAACAUUUAGCACGUUGGGAUGCUUUAGGAGGAGUCACCUUCAAAGGACCACGUAGGCCCUGCUAGGUCUCAAUAUGAUGCACAUAAGCAUGACCUAAAGGCUAACCUACGAUGGAACAAGGCUGUUCAGGGGAACAUAUGUUCGAUAGUGGCUGCUUUGCUUUCUACCUACUCUAUAUAUCCAACGGCUCCCCCUCAUAAAAUAAGGGUGACUCAACUAGAGUUCAUGUCCCCGACGUGCACUCUGGGACUUGUUGCAGAAAGAAUUGACUCAGGUUAUGUACAUGAUACCAGAUAUAAAGCGGUAACACAUAGGAGGAAAAACAAUAAACACGUAGGAAGUCAACGAUGAUAACAAUAACACAAAUCAAAUGUUUAUACACCCAUAAUGUCAAACUAAGCCGAUACAACUCCAAAAAAUAAGCUCAAAUUCUAAAAAAGAUUCCCCAGCAGAGUCGUCAGAGCUUUCACACCCCCUUUUUAACUUUGAAAAAGUUAUCGUUUUAAGGUUCGAAAAGGUUUUUAUUAUCAAAGUGACAAAAGAUGAAAAAUUAUUUUGAAAAGGACUUUUUAUAUUCAAAACUCUAAGUUGCCACUUGGCAUAAUCCAGUGUGCCAAGUCACCUUUGAAAAUCCUUUCCAAACGGUUUUGACUCUAUAACUGAUCCGCGAACAGAGAUUCUGACUAAGGAAUUCUAUUGACCGAGGGGAAGGUAUUAGGCACCCCUCAGUCCCGUGGUUCUACCACGGUCACUUGGUAGAGAAUAUUGGCUAAUUUAACACUACGAAUGUAUAAACCACACAAAACACAUAAACAAACAUCAAACAACAAUCCAAAACCGAUAUAAUAAUGUUUAGUACAAUUAUACAGUCCAAAAUAGAAAAAUGCGAGAAAAGAAAUCCUAUUCUAUCCUACGCUAACCUAACUACGCUCCUGCGCUUUACCCGAUGCCUUGGGCCUACCUCACGAAUGUCUUCCACCAACAUAAUAUGUCGGGGCAUUCCCAAGAAAAUAGACAAAAAUCCUCAGGACAUUCCCCAGCCAAUUAGUACAUUUUAAUCAAACGCGAUAAAUUAUAAAACGUUCAGCAUAUAUUCCACAUUCUAACAUUCAACAAGACACUUAAUCCUAAAUUUGCCUACCCGAACCUACAUUGGCCUAUCCAUAUAAACAUAUCAUAAUUCCAUCACGUUCCAUAUCAACAAUCAAAGAAAAUUAAUCCUAAUCUACUCUUUUCGAUAAAUUUUCAAUUCCCUCCCCCAACUUCCUUUUUAUCAAUCACGCCAUUAAAACUAAUCAAAUUCAUUCCUCAAACAACCAAAGUCACAUCAUCAAGUGCAUGGUCAUAAUAUCAACAACAUCGAGCAUUCAUAAUCACCCAACACAAAGUCAUGGUCGUUUCAACAAAUUAAAAUAGAGAAGAGGCAAUGGGUUAAAGAAAUGGACCUUUUGAUAUUACGUUGAUAACAGUGUUUAAGAAAACCAGAUCCGAAGCCCGAAUAGCACCUUAACGACGAUCAAGCUCUAAACUCGGUAUCACAAAAUAGAAACCCGCUACUGACCCCAAUAAAUUGACGGAGAUGGACAACACUAUGAAUCCCAGAAUAGUACAAAUACCAAAGAAUUGAGAGGAAAGUAGCAGAACAAACCCGACCCGUACACAAAGCUAGACGCAAAAACUGAUUAGAAACUGGACUAAUUUUAGUGAGGAAUUCACUGCUGGUCCACGUUUCUCAGACAAAACUUAACGUUUUUGGCCAAAUUCCCAGAAAAUAAUGAAGAAAUUUGGACUCUUCGUGAUCUGGUUAAUCGGAUGAAGAACCAGAAUCAAUUCCGAUGAAAGUUUUACACCGGAAAAAGGUUGUCGAAGGAUCAAACCUCGCACCAAUCCCCUCUUCCCGAUCACUCUCUGUCUUCUCGGUCUCCAUCUAUAGCUCUCUCUUCGUGACUCUCUCUUUCUCGUCCCCCUAUUUGUGUGUGUUUCUUACGAAGAAAAGGAAAAAUCGUCAAUGUUUCCCUGGUGUAUCCAUGUUUUUAGGUGGGUUAGUGUAGAAGAUAUGGAUGAUGAUGAUGUGGGUUCUCUGUGUGUAUACGUGAUCUCUGUUCAUGAAGCUGGUGAGGUGAGUGUUGUAUAUCUGAGUGACUAUGUAUCCUCAAUGGUACUGUGUGAAUAUUGUCUAUAUUAUUUUAAUUCCCUGUGAAUGGAUUUUUGGUG
rnacentral:lncRNA from 1 species